CAUGCAAGUGAUUGAAAAAAUUAGACAGGGUCAACUGCACUCUUCAUAAGGAUGAUGACUAUCUUGGGAAUCUCUCUGAUGCAUU